rnacentral:rRNA from 1 species
GAUGAACGCUGGCGGCGUGCCUAAUACAUGCAAGUCGAGCGAACGGACGAGAAGCUUGCUUCUCUGAUGUUAGCGGCGGACGGGUGAGUAACACGUGGAUAACCUACCUAUAAGACUGGGAUAACUUCGGGAAACCGUAGCUAGUACCGGAUAAUAUUUUGAACCGCAUGGUUCAAAAGUGAAAGACGGUCUUGCUGUCACUUAUAGAUGGAUCCGCGCUGCAUUAGCUAGUUGGUAAGGUAACGGCUUACCAAGGCAACGAUGCAUAGCCGACCUGAGAGGGUGAUCGGCCACACUGGAACUGAGACACGGUCCAGACUCCUACGGGAGGCAGCAGUAGGGAAUCUUCCGCAAUGGGCGAAAGCCUGACGGAGCAACGCCGCGUGAGUGAUGAAGGUCUUCGGAUCGUAAAACUCUGUUAUUAGGGAAGAACAUAUGUGUAAGUAACUGUGCACAUCUUGACGGUACCUAAUCAGAAAGCCUCGGCUAACUACGUG